rnacentral:rRNA from 1 species
CAGCCGUAAACUAUGCGCGUUAGGUGUAUCGGUGACCACGAGUUACCGAGGUGCCGAAGGGAAACCGUGAAACGUGCCGCCUGGGAAGUACGGUCGCAAGGCUGAAACUUAAAGGAAUUGGCGGGGGAGCACCACAACAGGUGGAGCCUGCGGUUUAAUUGGACUCAACGCCGGGAAGCUCACCGGAUAGGGCAGACAUAUGAUAGUCGGGCUGAAGACUCUACUUGAUGAUCUGAGAGGAGGUGCAUGGCGUCAGUGACU